rnacentral:rRNA from 1 species
CCUACGGAAGGCAGCAGUGGGGAAUAUUGCACAAUGGGGGGAACCCUGAUGCAGCGACGCCGCGUGGGUGAAGGAGUAUUUCGGUAUGUAAAGCCCUAUCAGCAGGGAAGAACAAUGACGGUACCUGACUAAGAAGCACCGGCUAAAUACGUGCCAGCAGCCGCGGUAAUACGUAUGGUGCAAGCGUUAUCCGGAUUUACUGGGUGUAAAGGGAGCGCAGGCGGCGCGUUAAGCCUGGUGUGAAAGUCCGCGGCCCAACCGCGGGACUGCAUUGGGAACUGGCGCGCUGGAGUGCCGGAGGGGUAGGCGGAAUUCCUAGGGUAGCGGUGAAAUGCGUAGAUAUUAGGAGGAACACCAGUGGCGAAGGCGGCCUACUGGACGGUGACUGACGCUGAGGCUCGAAAGCGUGGGGAGCAAACAGGAUUAGAUACCCGAGUAGUC